rnacentral:rRNA from 1 species
AUUGAACGCUGGCGGCAUGCCUUACACAUGCAAGUCGAACGCGAAAGCGGGGCAACCCGCAAGUAGAGUGGCGAACGGGUGAGUAAUACAUCGGAACAUUUCCAGUAGCGGGGGAUAACCUGUCGAAAGAUAGGCUAAUACCGCAUACGCCCCACGGGGGGAAAGCGGAGGACCGCAAGGCUUCGCACUAUUGGAGUGGCCGAUGUCGGAUUAGCUAGUUGGCGGGGUAAAAGCCCACCAAGGCUACGAUCCGUAGCUGGUCUGAGAGGACGAUCAGCCACACUGGAACUGAGACACGGUCCAGACUCCUACGGGUGGCUG